GUGGGGAAUUUUGGACAAUGGGCGCAAGCCUGAUCCAGCAAUGCCGCGUGCAGGAAGAAGGCCUUCGGGUUGUAAACUGCUUUUGUACGGAACGAAACGGUCCUGGUUAAUACCUGGGGCUAAUGACGGUACCGUAAGAAUAAGCACCGGCUAACUACGUGCCAGCAGCCGCGGUAAUACGUAGGGUGCGAGCGUUAAUCGGAAUUACUGGGCGUAAAGCGUGCGCAGGCGGUGCUGUAAGACAGGCGUGAAAUCCCCGGGCUCAACCUGGGAAUUGCGCUUGUGACUGCAGUGCUGGAGUACGGCAGAGGGGGAUGGAAUUCCGCGUGUAGCAGUGAAAUGCGUAGAUAUGCGGAGGAACACCGAUGGCGAAGGCAAUCCCCUGGGCCUGCACUGACGCUCAUGCACGAAAGCGUGGGGAGCAAACAGGAUUAGAAACCCGAGUAGUCC
rnacentral:rRNA from 1 species